AUAGAACGCUGGCGGAAUGCUUUACACAUGCAAGUCGAGCGGCAGCGCGGGGGCAACCCUGGCGGCGAGCGGCGAACGGGUGAGUAACAUAUCGGAACGUACCCAGUCGUGGGGGAUAACUAUCCGAAAGGAUAGCUAAUACCGCAUACGUCCUGAGGGAGAAAGCGGGGGAUCGCAAGACCUCGCGCGAUUGGAGCGGCCGAUAUCGGAUUAGCUAGUUGGUGGGGUAAAGGCUCACCAAGGCGACGAUCCGUAGCGGGUCUGAGAGGACGACCCGCCACACUGGAACUGAGACACGGUCCAGACUCCUACGGGAGGCAGCAGUGGGGAAUUUUGGACAAUGGGGGCAACCCUGAUCCAGCCAUUCCGCGUGAGUGAAGAAGGCCUCGGUUGUAAGCUCUUUCUACGCAGGAACGAAACGGUAGGUCCCGUAACUACGGACUACUAAUGACGGUACCUCGAAGAAGAAGACACCGGCUAACUACGUAGCCAGCAG
rnacentral:rRNA from 1 species